AUCCACAAAAACUAGAGGGGAAGAGAAAAUAAAUUUAUCAAAUUAAGCCCAUGACACAUGUUGAGACUUCACCUUCAACCCAAGCUUGAACGGAAAUUAGCUACUCAUAAUUGAACUAGGGGUAAAAUGGGAAUUUAUUAAAAUACGAAGAAAAUACAAGAUGGAGAAGGAAUUACAGAAAAUGGAUCCCAAAAAUGGAUUCAGAGAUAUCAAAUUAGGGGGGGGGAGGCCCCCUUUUUAUAGAUACAUGGAGUAAAUCAUGGCCAUCGGAUUAAAAACAGUUUGGACGCUCAGGAUUGCGCCACGUCAUCAGUCAACAGUCCACGGUUUGACCACGCGGAUGAACAGUAACACGGUUUGACCCGGAUGAACAGUAACGCGGUUUGGUUGAAAAUAAUCCUGUGUGAUGCAUGCACCGUACGCGAGAUUUUUCGUCCACUGAUAUGCUGCCACGUCACUAUCAACAGUAUAUAAGAAUUUUAGUCCAACAGGAUCGUGACACCUCAUCAGUCAAUGCCACGUCACUCAAGCAUAUUAAUGGAGCCUCCCACUAAAUAAUAUAUUUAGGCUUUUAACCUAAAUAGCUAGUUAUCUUGCUUAUUAAUCCAGUAGCGGCGCAGUCAAUUAAAUGAGUUAAUCCGGGGAUCAUAUGGGUACAUACAAUAGUGGCUACAAUAAUUAGGCCUGUAAUUAAACUAGCCCAAUUGCUUAAUUCCAAAUCUACUCCACUAAAAGAUUGGAAUUGACCUCCAUAAUUGUAUGCUAUCUAGGAUAGUGUUCUCGAAUAAUAAUUCGACCCAUGCCACAUUGAUUUCUUUACUGCAUAAUCCUUUGUACCACAUCGUUAAUUAAAUUGAUAUCUCAACUGUUCAAUCCAUUUAAUUACAUCUUGAUCCUUGAUACUUACUGGUUUUCUCUAAUGAUCAUUUUCAACAUACUAAAUACGUUGACAUGCUCUGGCCAGAGAAUUCUAUGAUCAAGUGCCGAAAACCCAUCAAGAGAUGUGUUGUACAAAUUCUAUAUUGUUAAUAUAUAACUCCAAUACUCAUAAUUGCUCUCACCAAGAUAACUCAAAUGGAAUAACAAUUACAAUUGUCGUGCACAUUGGUAACUCAAAUGGAAUAACAAUUACAAUUAUGAAAUCAUAAUUUACUCAAGAUUAAGAUUACAGUAAAAUCAAUGCCUAUGAGAUUUAAUAAGUCUGAAGUCAUUUCAAGGUUAAUUAAAUCUCAUAUGUGAUCUAGCUCAAUGUAGUCAAACUACAUCAGUAAAUUCAUAUAAAUCUCAUAUGUCAUAAGAUAACUUGUAUUUAUGUCUUCUGUGAAUCCAUAUGAUGAUAACAUAAAUACAUAUAAUAUGAUUAAACGGACCUUAUUCAAUAUAUAUUUAUGCAAUUGAAAAUAUCUCAAAUAUUUUAUUAAUCAGAAAAUAAAUUAAUAUGCUUUAAAAGAGCAUAUAAUCCCAACAUGGUCAUGGUUUAGAAACAAAUUUAAAAAUUACAAAUAUAGCAACCAAGAGAGUUGAUAAACUGAAAUUUAUACUUUUCAAAAGUUCACUAUCCUAUUAUACUAUAAAUAUAAUAAAUAAGAUAGGCCCCACAACAAACACAUUACAUAGUAUCAUAAUUAUAAAUUUUAAGAUAUGUAAAUUUUAAGCAAGUGUAUAACAACUUUGAAAAGUCAAAAAAUAGAGGAUAUGAAAUGGAACUUACCAUAUUAAACACAACAAUUUGCUGCUAUAUCCAAUUCCAAGUACAAAUCCAGCAACAAAUUUAUUACUGAAAUAUAUUUUGAAUGAUCAGUUGAUAGAAUGCACGAUUACAACUCCAAAUAUUUUUAAAGACUAUCUUCCUGGGAAAUUAUUUAGUAAAUUGAUUAUCAAAACAUAUGCAAUACAUGCAAAUACAUUUCAAUUUUGGAGGGGUUUCAUCACGCACAUUAUGUAGUAAAUUGAUUGCCGUAAUAUAUGCAAUACAUACAAAUACAUUUCAAUUUUUUUUACAUAAAAGUUGAAUGAAUAGUCAAAAUUAAAUACAUGCAAAUAUAGCAAUGACUCACCAGUGGGUGUGAAGCUUCAAUUCACCGUCAAGGCUAGGAGUUUCAACUUCAGCAACAACGAUUUGGGUCUUCUUUCACGGUAAGUGAUUGGGUUUCUUUCGGUCAAUAAAGGUACCGUGGCUGUUGUUCUCAUUCUAAUUUGGGUUUCGAUUAGCACUGACUUCGUCCUAGCAAAGAGAGACGGCUCAGUGACAACCACAUCAAAGAGAGAUGAUUGAGUGAAACAACCAGAACGAUUUUGAAACGAUGGGUGUUUGGGUGUCAUUAGUUUGCUAUGGUCGGCCUUUGAGGGUUUGCUACAAGUGUGCUAAUCGAUUUUGAGAUUCCACAAUCACACUUGAAAAUUUUCUGAACACUUAGAAAAUUUUUUGCCUCUUUUCUCACAAAAAUGUUUCCCCCCAUUACAAAACCCAACAUUUUAUUAAUAUUUUUUGUUAUUUACGUUUCUGGUUUUUCUCAAACAUUUGAAAAACACAAUGUUUUUAAAUUUAUUUGUUACUUUAAUAGAAACGACAUCGUUUCACUUCUUUUUUUAGUAAUAAAAUAUUUUUAAAAAUUAAGUCAAACCUGCGCAAUUAAAGUCAACAUAGAAAUUUAGUCUUUCAUUCUUGAUAGCCAAAUAAUUUAUCACUAGUCUAUCAUAGUUUCUUGAUAUAUGAUAUUUAUAUCACUAAUAUAUCAUGAUCUGUUGAUGAACGAUAUUUCUAUCACAGCUAUGUCAUAAGUGUAUGAUAGAAAAUAAAUCUAUCACGAUUCUAUUGUUGUAGGCCUCCAGACAAAAAACCAUCACACAUAGGACUGUCAUAGUAGGUACUUUUUCUUGUAGUGUGUAAUUACACAGAAAACUUAUUCAAAUUUUUACGUAUUCAUUUUUAUUUCACAAAUAUCCCUCCCUUUUAUGUCACAUUAAACCCGAAAGUGAUUUCUUUUUCUAUUUUCUUUUCCUUUCCGAAAGUGAAUUCUUUUUCUUUUUCGUUUUCCUUUUCAACUUCUUCUUCGUCUAAAAGUCUAAAAGUGAAGGCAUAUGAAAAACAUUUGUAGCAUAAACUAGCUUAAGUGCCUGUUUAGUUUGGCUUAUCUAGUAGUUAUAAAUGCUUAUUUAAUUCUAUAAGCUAUUUUUUUUAAUUAUUUAGUUAUUUUUUUAGUAGAGUUGUUAAAGAUUAAAUAAGAUAUUUUGCUUCUACUAGUAAAAGCUCAAAUUUUGAGAUUUUAAAAGUAGAAGUUGUAAAGUUUUUUUUGAAGUAUUAAUAUGUCUAAAAUAUGUUUUACUUAUUUGACAAUCAUAUUUCAUUCAAUUCAUAACAUAAUGUUAAAAAAUUUUCUAUUAAAAUAAUUCUAUAAUUUUAUAUAAAAGCUCUGUUGUCAACCAAACAAUUAAUUUUUUUUGGGAAAUUUACAACCGUCCACCUGUUUGUUUUGUCUUUUUCAAAAAUACACAAACACUAUUUUUUUUUUCAGUNNNNNNNNNNNNNNNNNNNNNNNNNNNNNNNNNNNNNNNNNNNNNNNNNNNNNNNNNNNNNNNNNNNNNNNNNNNNNNNNNNNNNNNNNNNNNNNNNNNNNNNNNNNNNNNNNNNNNNNNNNNNNNNNNNNNNNNNNNNNNNNNNNNNNNNNNNNNNNNNNNNNNNNNNNNNNNNNNNNNNNNNNNNNNNNNNNNNNNNNNNNNNNNNNNNNNNNNNNNNNNNNNNNNNNNNNNNNNNNNUGUUUGUUGCUUGCUAGAUUUAGAAAAUUUGUAUUUAUUUUUUCUCUUUCAAAAAAAUAAAUACAAAUUUUCUAAAUUUAGCAAGCAACAAACACUAUUUUCCUCCAAUUUCUAGCAUCCACCUUUGAAAAAAUUUAAAUACAUCCAAUUUAUCUCCAAUUUCCAUUUAUUUUGGGUUAAAUUAUAAUUUUGAGGGGUAAAAAGGUCAUUUCGUUAACAUUCCGUUAAAUCCACUAACGGAAAUUAGACGGAAGUGGAAAAAUGCAACAAAAAGAAAACUUCAGGUGGCGUACUGAAAAAAAAAAAAGUGUUUGUGUAUUUUUGAAAAAGGCAAAACAAACAGAUGGACGAGUGUAAAUUUCCCAUUUUUUUUAAAUAAAAACUCUCCUCGUAAAAGUUUUACUAACACAAGUUAAACUUACAAAAAGCUCUAUUUCAAAAGCUACCAAAUGGAGCCUAAAGCACUAAAAACCUAAUUAAAAAAGUUUCAAGACACAUAUUUGAGACACUGUCGAAGAAAACCCUAAACGGUGGACUGCUUACUCGCUUGAAGUGUGUACCGGUCUGCUAAUAACUUCCAUCUACUGGCAAGUUUCAUAUUCAAAGUUGGAAACUCUACAGCCAUAACCAGAUUUGACAAUAAUAUUUUUUACUGGAAUGAAAAUCAUCAUCACAAAAAAAUGGGAAGAAUCCCAUCACAACGAAUUCGAUUUGACGAAACACUUCCUUCUUCAAUUUUUUACAGUCAGUCUUUUGAACUUAAGAAAUGGUUGCACAAUUCUUUUAUACUAUUAUACUAUUUAAUUAUAGUCAAAGCUUUUAUAAUAAACAUAAGUACAAUAUUAAGAUAAAUAUAAUUAAUAAAAUGAAAUAAAUAAUAAAAUAAAAUAUGUAUUAUGUAGAUUAUUUUUAACAUUAAACUAUUAUCAAUGACCUAACAGAUUUAUUAAUAUUAAAAUCCAUUGACCCAAAAUUUGACUUUAAAAGUUAUACUAAAUAUAUAUAAAAUCAAAAUAAAUCAUACGGUACAGCAGAAUUCUAUAAAUUUUUUAUUAUAUAUUUUAAAAUUAUAUUUCUAUUUAUAUUAAAUUUCAAAGUAAAUAUUUGGUUGUUAUAACCAAAGGGAUAUAAAAGUUUAAAAAAUGAUUUGUAUGACCAUUACAACUUAGGGAAUCUAGGCCGUUUUUCCCUUGAUAUCACGUAUAUACUCGUUGAAUAUAUUCAAACUGGGUUAGACUUUUUUAAUUUAAAUUUUUACUUAAACUUCUUAUUCAUUUUCACAAAAUUUCUCAGAGACGAUUUUUAUGUGUUUAGGUAAUUUAUAUUGACCCAAAGAAUUUUAGAAAUUUUGAUUUUGAUGAUAACAAACAAUAUGGUAAGGUAAAUAAAGAGAUUCAUAAUUAUAAUGACUUUUUGAUACACUUAAUAACUUGUGCAAACCCAUCUAUAUACAAAUGGGCGAUGGCAUAAAAAGUUGUGCCUUAAAGAAAGUUUGAAAAAUGAUGACAUUACAAUGCAAUUACAAUUAAGAUUUUUGACUUGUACUUAAUGUCUUGAAUUCUUUGGAUCCCCUGGAUAACGUCUUAGAAACAGCAAGAUUGUCUCCUUAAAUAUUUUGAUAAUCAUUACUUUGACUAUCUCGAUAAUCAUUAUUUUGACAUAUGAUGCUUUCCUUAUCAUCCCCCUUAAUGUGGAGUGUGGUAUGCUUACUACACCCAGAUUGCUACGAAACUUAAUGAAAGGAUAUUUUCUGAGAGCUUUUGUAAAGAUAUCAGCCACUUGUAUAGCUGUAGGCAUGUAACGUGUAAUGAGAGCCCCAACUGCUACUUUCUCCCUUACAAAGUGAUAGUUCAUCUCAAUGAGUUUUGAGCGAGCAUGAAAUACAGGAUUAACUGACAUAUGUAGAGCACUGAUGUUGUCUGAGAAUAAUUGAGGUGGUUGUAAGAGAGAGAUGCCAAUAUAACGAAAAAGAAAAGUUAGCCAAGUAAUCUCAGCAGCAGUGGAGGCUAGGGAGCGAUACUCUGCUUCAGAACUUGAUCAUGAUAUUGUAGGCUGCCUUUUAGAAGACCAAUAGAUGCAAUGUGCACCUAAAUAUAUACAAUAACCUAUCAUACUUCAAUGAGUACUUGGACAGCCCCCCCCAAUCAGCAUCGCAAAAUUCAUUAAGAGUAAGAGUGCUUUAAUGAAGAAAGCAAACUCCAUAAUCUAUUGUGCCUUUGAGAUACCAAAGUAUCCGCCUAACAGCACAAAAAUGCCCUUCUGUAGGUUCUUGAAAGUGCUGACAAUCCUUGUUAACUGCAUGUUGAAUGUCUGGACGUGAGAAAGUCAAGUACUGUAAGCCACCAACUAUCUGUCUGUAUUCAGUUGGAUAUGUGGCCGUUUGGUCAAGUUCAUUGGGCAGCGACUUUAUGGCCAUGGGUGUAGCAAAUGAAGAGCAAUCAAUCAUCUUGGCCCGAACAAGAAGGUCUCUAGUGUAUUUUGCUUGUGAGAUAAAAAUUCCAGUAUCAAAGUACUUGAUUUCUACCCCAAGAGAAUAGUGUAAUUUGCCGAGAUCUUUUAAGGCAAAUUCUAUGCUCAAUUUUUGAACAAGAUUGCCAAUAAAUUUAUCAUCAUUCCCUGUAAUCAAAGCAUCAUCAACACAAACCAACAUCAAAAUAGUUAAUGAGCCAUUUUUAAGGAUGAAUAAUGAUGGAUCAGCUUUGCUGCAAACGAACCACAGAUGAAGAAUAAAUUGUAAUAGACGCUCGAACCACGCUCGAGGCGCUUGUUUAAGCCCAUAGAGAAACCGAUUCAAUUUGCAAACACCAUCAAGAAAAUUUGGGUCUUUAAAUCCUGGAGGCUGCUCCAUAUAUACUAUUUCCUUCAUAAGUCGCAGAGACUACUUCAAUGUAACUGCCAAUGCUAAGAUUAAACGUAUUGUUGUAGGCUUUACGACUGGGCUAAAUGUCUCUUCAUAAUUUAAACCAUGCACUUGACUGUAUCCUUGAGCUACAAGGCGAGCUUUGAACCUGUCAACAGU
rnacentral:lncRNA from 1 species